AAACGAAAGAAAUAAGGAAACACGGCAAAGAGGCAGAAUCUGUAGAGCAAAAUUUGUAUAGCAGCUAACUAGGGUUAGGGGCAAAGAGGCAAAAGAGAACAGUUAGAGAGGGAGAGAGAGAGAUGGGCAGUUCGGAUAAGGGAACAGGUGUGGUUGAUUGCAGUGUUGGAACAAUUGUCUGGGUUCGGUGACGGAAUGGCUUGUGGUGGCCAGGUAAGAUUCUCGGUCCUAAGGAACUCUCAGCUGUUCAUCUCAUGUCUUCGCGAUCUGGGACUCCAGUCAAGCUUCUUGUAGGGGAAGAUGCCAGCUUGUAAUUCUGUUUAUUCCCUGUCGCUCUCCCUCUCUGUGUGCGUUGAACCAUUAUUAGUGAUUGAUUCCUCAGUUUCUCUAAAUGAUAGUAGGAAGGUGCGCAUAUCAUAUAAGGGGGUACCAGGUGCCUGUAGUGAGGAUGCUGCACUCAAAGCCUACUCUCAAUGCAAAACUGUUCCUUGCAACAAGUUUGAAGAUGCAUUCAAGGUUGAUUAUGAUGUAACUCUAACAGCUUGUGGGCAGAAUUUAGGACACCACACAGAAUUGCUGUUGAACUCUGGUUGGCUGAUAAAACAGUUCUUCUGAUUGAAAAUUCUUUAGGUGGAAGAAUCCAUCACAACUACGAUUUACUCCUUUGGCAUAAGCUGCACAUAGUGGGUGAGGUUCAGCGGGCUGUUAACCUUUGCCUUCUAGCACUACUAGGUGUUCGAACAGAGCACUUGAAACGUGUUUUGAGCCAUCCACAGGCACUUGCUCAAAGUGAUAUCAUCUUAAGUAAGUUGGGUGCUACAAGAGAAAACGUCAAUGAUACUGCUAGUGCUGAUUAGCCACAAAUGAACUGAGGGAUGCUGGUGCUGUUGCAAGUGCUCAAGCUGCAGAAAUUUAUGGGCUAGAUAUACUUGCUGAGAGAAUCCAGAUUUCGCAAGUUAUGAAUGUUAGUCGAGAAUAUUUAUACAAGUGAGGUUGGGAAUUUGGGAACUAAAUUUGUUUUGAUAAUUUGUCUCUCCGGAAGAUGGAUAUCAUUAUGGCUUUUCAGAACUUAUGGCUGAAAUAAUUUUCUUUUAAAUUUUUUUUGCUUUAACUUUGUUAGUGUGGUAGAAUAUUUUAUAAAUUUGAUUAUGAUUUUUAUUGCAGUAUAAA